rnacentral:rRNA from 1 species
UACGUAGGGUCCGAGCGUUGUCGAUUGAUCUGGGCGUAAAGAGCUCGUAGGUGGUUUGUCGCGUUGUUCGUGAAAACUCACAGCUUAACUGUGGGCGUGCGGGCGAUACGGGCAGACUUGAGUACUGCAGGGGAGACUGGAAUUCCUGGUGUAGCGGUGGAAUGCGCAGAUAUCAGGAGGAACACCGGUGGCGAAGGCGGGUCUCUGGGCAGUAACUGACGCUGGAGGAGCGAAAGCGUGGGGAGCGAACAGG